GUCCCUGUAGCGCAAUAGAUAGCGCGUUGGACUUCUAAUUCGAAUGUCGUGGGUUGGAAUCCCACUUGGGAUG